rnacentral:rRNA from 1 species
UACGUAGGGCGCAAGCGUUGUCCGGAAUUAUUGGGCGUAAAGAGCUCGUAGGCGGUUUGUCGCGUCUGCUGUGAAAACUCGGGGCUUAACUCCGGGCCUGCAGUGGGUACGGGCAGACUAGAGUGCGGUAGGGGAGACUGGAAUUCCUGGUGUAGCGGUGAAAUGCGCAGAUAUCAGGAGGAACACCGGUGGCGAAGGCGGUUCUCUGGGACGGUACUGACGCUGAGACGCGAAAGCGUGGGGAGCGAACAGG